AGAGUUUGAUUCUGGCUCAGGAUGAACGCUGGCGGCGUGCCUAACACAUGCAAGUCGAGCGAUCUCUUCGGAGAAGAGCGGCGGACGGGUGAGUAACGCGUGGGUAACCUGCCUCAUACACAUGGAUAACAUACCGAAAGGUAUGCUAAUACAGGAUAACAUAAGAGAUUCACAUGGAUUUCUUAUCAAAGCUCCGGCGGUAUGAGAUGGACCCGCGUCUGAUUAGCUAGUUGGUAAGGUAACGGCUUACCAAGGCGACGAUCAGUAGCCGACCUGAGAGGGUGAUCGGCCACAUUGGAACUGAGACACGGUCCAAACUCCUACGGGAGGCAGCAGUGGGGAAUAUUGCACAAUGGGCGAAAGCCUGAUGCAGCAACGCCGCGUGAGUGAUGAAGGCUUUCGGGUCGUAAAACUCUGUCCUCAAGGAAGAUAAUGACGGUACUUGAGGAGGAAGCCCCGGCUAACUACGUGCCAGCCGCCGC
rnacentral:rRNA from 1 species